AUUUCUUGUAAUACAAAUUCAGAUGGGAUGUAAAAGCAAUGGAGCAGCUUCCGGACUAUAUGAAAAUAUGUUACCUUUCACUCUUCAACACUACCAAUGAAAUGGCCUAUCAUAUUCUCAAACAACAAGGGAUCAAUGUCCUGCCCUACCUCACAAAACAAGUAUGUAAAAUUACAAUCUUCACUUAAUCCCCUUCUUUUACUUUCAAUCUUUGAGGCAGAACCAAUAUUUAAAUUUCAUUGGAUUCAGAAUUUAAUUUUUCUAUUUUAUGCAACACAAAAUUGGAUUCAGUUGAACCUAUAUUGGCCUCUGCCCCCUCUCCUCCCCUGCCCCAAACCACAAAUUAAAGCUCUAAUUAAUCCAUUUAUAUAUUUGAAAACAAGUUACUAUUAAUUAGUGGGCAGAUUUAUGCAAAGAAUACUUACAAGAAGCAAGAUGGUACCACAAUGGAUAUAAGCCAACACUAGAAGAGUACAUGAAUAAUGCAUUGAUUUCAAUUGCAACUCCUUUGGUAUUACUCCAUGCAUUCAUCUCUCUCAUCAAUCCAACUACCAAAGAGGCAUUGGAAUCCUUAAACAAAUAUCCAGAUAUAAUUCGUCGAUGUGCUAUAAUUAAUCGUUUCGUCGAUGAUUUGGCGACAUCAUCGGUACGUUUUCAUAUAUACCUUAAUUCCUCUCAUAUUAAUCUUGUGAGUGCUCCUCAUUUUUUAAUUAUUCUUGUUGUUAAUUUAGGAUGAAUUGAAAAGAGGUGAUGUUCCCAAGUCGAUACAAUGUUGCAUGAAUGACAAGGGUAUUUCGGAAGAAGAGGCAAGAAAACACAUCAAUUUAUUGAUAAAGGAGAUGUGGGAAGUGAUGAACAAAGACCAAAUUAGUAAAGAAAUGCUAUUUUCUGAAGAAUUCAUUAGGAUUGUGUUAAAUUUUUCAAGAACAUCACACUGCAUGUACCAGCAUGGAGAUGGGCAUGGAAUUCAAAAUUCUCACAUUAAAAAUUAUAUUUCCAAAUUACUCUUUGAGCCUCUCAUUAUGUAAUCAAUUUCAUAGUGUCUUAACUAUUCAAUACCUAAAAAAGCAUAAAGCUCUGUUUUUCAUGGGCAAUCUUUGUGACUUCCAUCAGAUACACAAAUAUAUGGUAAAAAAAUAUUUGCGAUAGGUUGGUCCUUAUUUUAGUACUCCCUAUAAUCCAUAAUUAUUGCUAUAUGUGUCUCAUAUUAAUUGAUCACUUUACUUUUUACACAUAUGUUAAGAAAUUAUAAAUAAGAAGAUAGUUUUACCAAUUCAUCCCUUAAGAACUUCUUUGAAACUUUAUAAACAAGUGUAAACACUUUCAAAAAGAAUUAAUUAAAGGGUAAUAUGAGAAAAAAUCGAUUAAUGAUUUCUUGAUUUAGUGAGGUGUUCAAAAUAAGUUAAUUUUUCAAUGUUCAAGAAUAGUUGUCAGAAAUUUCUUCCAUUUUUGUUCUUCAUUUACAUUUUCUAGGUGAUAAGUUCAAGAAAAAUAAUUUUUCAUAUUUCCUCAAUUUCGAAAUAAGUGAAUUGUUGAGGUAAUACACACCUAUUAAGAAAAAAAGUUUAAGAAAUAAAUUUAACAUCACUUUUCACUUUUGCCAUUUUAGUUAUUCACAAACUAUUCUUGAAAAUACAAAUGGUUCAAAUUAAAAUCAUAAAUAUGAAUAAGGGAAGUGUUGAAUGGCCAGAAAAUUUGGCCAAAAAAUUAAAAAACUAUAAUAUUUUUUUUAUUUAAAAAUAAACUGAUGUUUUUUUCAUUUUUUAGUUAAAAGGUAUUAAAGUUAAAAGAGUAAAAAUGUUUUAAAUGAUAAAAUAUCAUUCUGGCCAAAUUUUCUAGCCAAAAAGAUUUUUCCUAUGAAUAAAUUAACUCUCUUGAAAUUAUCACCUAAAAAUGGAAGAAAUUUUCAAUAGAUCUCUUGAACUUUGAACAGUUCAGUAAUUUUGAACUACUAUAAAAAAGACCUAACAAUUCGCUUAUUUUAAAAUGGAAAGUAUAUUUAUAUUUUUUACUUUGAAUUAUUUCUAUUUCCAAAACUAUUGGACUUUCUUGAAUAUUAUUGUAGCCAUUUAAUUUAAUUUGGCAAGUGGUCGACCCUGUUUUAACUUAUCCUAAUUCAGUCCAAACCCACCUAUUAGUAUUCAUUUUUAUCUCUUUUCCCAAUUGAACAAAGUUUGGUACUCAGCUUUCUUUGGUCUUAGGUUCAGUCCUUAUUUUAGUAAAAUACGUAACUCCCGCCGUUUCUAUUUAUUUAUUAAAUAUUUUUUUAAUUAAUUAUUUUAUUUGUUACUUUUGUCAAAUUAAGAAAAAAAUAAUUUUUUUUUAUUAUACCUUCAAUUUAUUAUUAUUAAAUUAAUAUUUUUGAAAAAUAUGGUGAGUAAAUAUAUUUUGGAACCCAUCAAUUUGAUAGGAUUGAAAUGAUAAAUUAAUUAUUAUUUUCUUAAUAACUGUGUUAGGUCAAAAUUUGACAAAUAAAAAACAAAGAAAGUAUUAAAUUUUUGCUUGUAUUAUAGCCAUUUAAUUUGGCAAGUGGCGGACCCUAUUCUGACUUAUUCAAAUUCAACCUAACUCAUCCGACAUUCCUUUAAUAUACUCUCUUUGUUCCUAAUUAUUUGUCCACUUUUGACUUGGCACACAUAUCAAAAAAAUAAUUAGUGACAUAGUGAGUUUACCAUUUUACCCCUAUUAAUUAUGAAGUGGAUGAAAAGUCCUACAUUUUUCAAAGUAAUUAGUCAUUUAAUUGAGGGUAUAAUAGGUAAAAAAAUUGUCCUUUAAUUUCUUGAUUUGUCAAAAUGGACAAGUAAUUAGGGGCAACUAUAAAAGGAAAAGUGGACAAGUAAUUAGGGACAGAGGGAGUAUUUCCUAAAAAUUGAUUAAGUUGGUCCUUAGAUUUUCUUUGAUAAUAGGUUGGUUCUUAUUUUAAUAAUACGAAUCAGUGUUAUAAUUUUUUUGCUGGGACUCGCCUUGGUGCUCAUUUUGGGGUGAGGCUCUAGUAAAACGCUUUGAAACUCGAGUGUAAGGCUUAGUUUUGUAAUAUUUAUGUCUUAAGUGUCCAUUUGUGCUCAACGUCCAACACGUGGGGUUCGCUUAACAGAAUAUGGAGGAUUGAUCCUAUUCAUUGCUAAUCAUGCAGUUUUCUUAGCCUAUUCUAAUUUCACUCUUCUAUUAGUCGAGAUUUUUGAAAGAAAGUCUACCGAACGUGGGAAAACAGGAGGUUGCGGAUUUCUGACCUCCGAGCCAGAACUAUUUGGGGGAGAAACACAUCCCCCACCAAUGCGGCCUCGACCCUCUUUUCCAAGAGGCAUGUAGCCGUAGGCGGGAACUCUGCUUUUUAUCUUAUUCUUUGGUCAGUCCAGCUUGUUGUUACAUGAGUCUUGGCUUCAGCAGAUGCAUCUUAUUACUAUGUUGAUGAUCUUGUAUACUAAUCGAGUCCGCACUCGCCCGAGAACACGUACGUCCUCCCUAUAAUUGUCUUGUCUUUGUUAUGAGCGAUCCGGCCUCUAGCCCUAUAAUGAUGGAUUUGUCUUUAAAAAAAAACCCGACCUCGGUAGAAAACGAACGGCGGCGUGAAGUUGAUGAGUAGGGAAGAUGUCUUUUUUCUAGUUGACCGAUCUUACACAGAUGAUGUGUUAAAUUCUUUAAUCAACAUUGUUGGCCCUCAUCAUUCUUGGAUAAAUGAAUGAUACUUGAUAGUUUCUUAAUCAUGAUAAGCCAUCAGUACUAGUUGUACUAUCAAAAGCCUCUCUCUCUACUGCUGCCCAUAUGAAAUUACCUCAACAUACUAUCCGACGUUUAGGGAAUUACAAACCUACUACCUGGGAUUUUCAAUAUAUUCAAUCCCUUAAUAAUAAUUACACGGUAUAUUUAUUUUAUUUUUAUGUAGCACACAUACAUUCUUUUAUAACUGCAUAAUAUAUAUAUAUAUAUAUAUAUAAAAUAUAUUAUUAUAAAGGACUACAAAAUUAAAUCUCCUAUUUUAUUCGUCAAUGAUUAUCCACUAGCAAAUAUUUUAAUGGACUGCCGGAAAUUAUAUAGAAAGAGUUGGCUUUUAUAAUUCAAAUUUAUAAUAAACUUUAACUAAUCAAUUUCAGAUCAUGACUUUGAUAAACUAAUUGAAAGUUCACAUUUGCAGAUCGAUCUAACAAUAAUAAUGCUUUUGCUGACUCAAUUUUCUCAAUGUAAGUGUUGUAAAUCUGCAACAAGGUAAACUACCAUUUGAGAGGAAUUAUAAGCUUUGAAGUAAAGAAAAAGGUAUAAUAUUUUUCUACUUUUUUUUUCUAUUUAUUUUACAUGUAUUUUUGUGAUUCAUUUGAUUUGAAAGAAACAUACAUAAUAAUAAGAAGUAGAAAAAUGGUUUAUAUUUUUACUUAAUAAUUAUAGAAUGUAUAUGUAAUAUGUUGGAUGUUCUCAUAAUUAACCAUCAUUUUUGUUCACUUGGUAACUCAAACCCACAAUUUUAGAAUUGGAUGCGAGCAGGCUUAUAGUUACGAGCAACUCCUGACAUUGAAUAUAUAUUAGUUGAAAGAAUCUAUUUCCAGGCUUCAAGAUCGGUCUCCGAUCCUCUUUCCUUCCUUUUUAAACCUUUUUUCAAUUUUUUCAUGUUGCGUAAGUAAAAAACUCGCGUAUUUUCCUUUUUACCAACCACACCCAUAUAGGGUCCAAGCUUGUAAAGGGAGAUUAAUUAAGGUCUCUAAUCAUGAUAUAUGAAGAAGACAUUUUAACGUAGUUUAUGUAAAUAUAGAUCUUGGUUGGCUCUACAUUUAAGAUCUUAAUAUAUCAUGAUACCAAGAAACACUUUUAACAUAGGCGGUGUUAUCAAUACGUUGGAAAUAGAUAUUUUUUCAAUUUUCUUAUGUUCGAUUGCUUAACUUUUUUUUAGAAAAUAUAUCGAACACAAAAAUGAAGAAGCAAUAAACCCACUUAUUAGCUUUAAAAAUACUAAUUAAAAAAAAAAACAUUUUCAGAAAGUGAUUUCCUUUACCAAACACACCCAUGGUUUUGUGUAAAUUUAGAUCUUGUCUCUCUAGUGCUCUCUCUAUUUCGUUUAACUGAAUUUUCGAGCCUUUUUUCAUUGUUCAAAAUAAUUGAAUUGUUCAAAGUUCAAGGUAGAUGUUUGAAACUUUUUUCAUAUUUGACUGUUUCAUUUAUUGUAGUUUUAUAUUUUUAUGGAGAUAAAUUACAUUACUUACAAAGUUAUAUUUAUGAUUUCACAAAGGGCAAUAGUGAAAAAUAUGAUUUAAAUUAUGUCUUUGAAUGUUUUUCUUGAUACUAGUUUCUAGACACCUACAACGCACAUGUGUCUGAUGCAAUAUGUUAUAAAUUCGUUAGGACGAUUAAAAUUCAAUGAAAGUUUGUGUGUAAUGAGUACUAAAAUGCAACAAUCUCAAAUAAAUGUUAUGAUAAUAAUUUAUAGAAAAUUAAAGGGAAAAUGCACAAGUACCCCCCUAGCCUAUGCCCCAAAUCCCUGAGACACACCUAACCUUUACUAAGGUCCUAGUAUCCCCCGGAACUUAUUUUAUAUAUAAUUUUCUGCGCCUUUUCGACCUACGUGACACUAUCUUGUGGGUCCAGCGCAUGUUAACAAUUUUUUCAAGGAUAGUGCCACGUAGGCCGAAAAGGGGUAGAAAAUUAUAUAUAAAAUAAGUUCGGGGGGAGGGGGAGUAAUAGGACUUUAGUAAAAGUUAGGUGUGUUUCAGUGAUUUUGGGCAUAGGCUGGGGGAGGGGGGGGAGGGGGGUACUUAUGCAUUUGUAGAGAAAUAUCAAAAAAAUAAACAUAGAAGAAAACAAUAUCAUACGCAUCCUUCUUAAACUAAGGUCCUAUUACCCCCUGAACUUAUUUUUUUGUAAUUUUGUACACCUUUUUGGCCUACAUGGCCUCCAAACAUCUCCCACGCGCCUCACUUAAGUGGAGUCACGGAGUGUGCCAUGUAAGUCAAAAGGUGUACAAAAUUACAUAAAAAAUGAGUUUAGGGGGGUAAUAGGACCUUAGAAUAGUUAAGGUGUGUCUCUGGGAUUUUGGUCAUAGUCUAGGGGGGGGGGGGGGAGGGCGGUUACUUGUGCCUUAUCCCUUAUAUAAAUGAAAAAAGAAUACAAAAUCGGUACAUAAUUUUCCAAGUUUUUGUCGACACCUUCUCUCAUAUCCAAUCAAAAUUCAAAAGUCUUCUCCAUCGAGUCAAACUAAAGCAUGAAUCAAAUAGAAAAAUCAUUUAUUUUCGUAAAGUGAUAUCUAAUCAGACUAAGGUAGAUAUAUCAUAUACUUUAGAUGUUGAUGGCUUCACUACUUUAACUAUAAAAUGAAAAGGAUAAUUUUGGAUGUGAGUUUCAUGAAACAAAAAGAUGAAUUUAUAUAGAUAAAAAUACAGGAAUACCAAAAGACAUCUUAAAGUUUUAAAUUAAAUACUACUAUUUGAAGGUUUCAAAGGGCCAUAAUGGAUAAAAGAGAACAACUUUAAGAAUAUUAAAUAUAUGGAAUGAACAUCUAUUAAAAUCUGGAAGAGUAAACAAUCCUCUUUUGAACACAUGAACUCUCCAUUUACUCGAUGUAAUAAUUGAUUAUCACUAAUAUUUAAACAUUGUUAUAAAUUAUGAAUAAUAUACUACAAGAAAUAUAGACAAAAGAUAUGAGGAGUGGAAUAUAGAGACCAUCUUAUUCAAAUGUCUUCAUCUCUCAUGUUUGUGUCUUUUACAAUGGUAAAUGAACAACCCUAUUUAUAGGUUGCGAAAUCAUUCCAAAAGUCACCAUAUUAAGUAUCAUAAUAAAUAGAUACGUUCUUAUCCAAAAAGGUUCAUAGAAUCUAGGGAAUACACAUAGAUGAUAAGUAUAAGUUUAUGGAUAAACUCAAUGGACAAUGCACUUAGUUCAAUGAAUUUAUAACACUCCUCCUUGGAUGCCCAUAGAUAAUGUGCCUCGUUAAAACCUUACUAGGAAAAACCUAGUGGGAAAAAGCCUAGUGAAGGAAAAAGAGUACACACAUCUCAUAAUAUGCUUUAAGUGUUGCCUCAUUAAAAACCUUACCAGGACAAAAUCAUGGUUAAGGAAAAGAGUACAAUGCGUAUUUCACUCCCCUUGAUGAAAGCUUUACUUGAUAUCUCAGAGAUGAUGCAUUCCAAUCUUAUAUCUCAACUUCUUAAAUGUUGAUGUUGGCAAUGCCUUGGUGAAUAAAUCGAUAAGAUUAUUGCUUGAACGGAUCUUUUGAACUUCUAUCUCACCAUUUUGUUGAAAAUCAUGUGUGAAGAAGAAGUUUAGUGAAAUGUACUUUGUCAAGUAUCCUUUGAUAUAUCCUUACUUUAAUUGAGCUAUACAUACAUCAUUAUCUUCAUACAUGGUGGCUGGAAUAUCUAUUUUCAAAGAAAAAUCACACAGUUCCCUGCAUCUGCAUAAUCAAUAAUUUGUAUGUGCACCAAUUGCACUAAUACAUGAUAUUUUUCAAUCAUUUUCAGCAGAUCGAUCUUCCUUUGUGUUAAGCAAUCUCACAACCAUUGGGGUACUCAAUGGAAUUGCUUUAACAUCUUUUGAAUCCUUCAAGGAUUUUCAUAUAACCUUCAUCGUCUAGCUAGGACAUGACAAUCAUUCAUUACACAUAUUCAAGCAUUUUAUGUAUUGCCGGACCAAAACAAGCCUCAUUGCAUCCACCAUAGGAGAAUAUAUCUCCAUUUAAUAAUCAUUGACGAAUAAAAUAGGAGAUUUAAUUUUAUAGUCCUUUAUAAUAUUAUAUUAUAUAUAUAUAUAUAUAUAUCAAAUGUGUUGUGUAUCAUUCAGAUAAUUUUAUUAACUUUAAUUGGGGGGUAAGUAUAUGAAGCGGCUUGAUGAAUUGAAGAAGGAAAUGAAGAAGAAUUUGAUGAUGAUGGUUGAGGGAUCAAUACAAGAAUUAGAUGCUAAGUUGGAGUUGAUUGAUAAUUUACGAAGGCUUGGAGUGAGUUACCACUUUAACGAUGAAAUCAUGCAAAUAUUGAAGAGUGUACAUGACCAAAUUAGGAGUACAGAUAAUUCAUUAUACUCUAUAGCCUUGAAGUUUAGGCUCUUCAAACAAUAUGGUUUUCAUAUCACUCAAGGUACCCAUAUGAGUACGAGGGUUAAACUGUCUAAUUUUUUUCAUGUGACUAACAUUUUUUUUGUGUGUGUUGUUAGAUAUAUUCAACGAUUUCAAGGACAUGGAGAAUGUCAAGCAAAGUAUUUGUCAUGACACAAAAGGAUUGUUAGAAUUAUAUGAAGCAUCGUUUCUCUUUACAGAAAAUGAAACUUCUUUGAGAAAUACGACAAAAUCCACAUUGACAUAUCUAAAGAGCUAUGUUGAUAAUAAUUGUAAUGCAGAAGAGAAUAUAAUGGUGGAAUUAGUGGUCCAUGCCUUGGAACUUCCAAGACAUUGGAUGAUGCCAAGAUCAGAGACAGAGUGGUAUAUUAGCAUUUACGAGAGAAUGUCAAAUGCUAAUCCUCUUUUGUUAGAGCUUGCUAAAUUGGACUUCAACAUUGUUCAAGCAACACACCAACAAGAUUUGAAAAUUCUAUCAACGUGUGAUAUCCUUCAAUUCAUGUAUCUUUUAAGUGAUUUGACAGUAUCAAAAUUUCAGCGUAUAAAAGGUUAAGUUCGUCGUUAUAUUUAUUGUUAUGGAUGGCUUAAGAGUUAAAACAUGUAAAAUAUAAUUUAUCAAUACAUCAUAUAUAUUUAUUUUCAUGUACUCAUUCAUGUAAAGGUGGUGGAAGAGCACACGUUUGGCAGAGAAGUAUUCAUUUUCAAGGGGUAGACUAGUUGAAGCCUUUUUCUGGUCAGUGGGUUUAGUAUUUGAGCCUCAACACAGCUUCUGUCGAAGAAUGGUGGCGAAAAACGUUGCUUUUAUAGUCAUCAUAGAUGACAUUUAUGAUGUUUAUGGCACUCUUGAUGAGUUGGAAAUCUUCACUCAUGCUGUUCAAAGGUCAGUUAUUAACUUUUGAUGAACAUCAUAAUACCUAACUUAAUCGUCGUCCUUGUCAGCUUGUUUGUGAUUUCAAAUUUUGAUUUCUUGUAAUACAAAUUCAGAUGGGAUGUAAAAGCAAUGGAGCAGCUUCCGGACUAUAUGAAAAUAUGUUACCUUUCACUCUUCAACACUACCAAUGAAAUGGCCUAUUAUAUUCUCAAACAACAAGGGAUCAAUGUCCUGCCCUACCUCACAAAACAAGUAAGUAAAAUUACAAUCUUCACUUAAUUCCCUUCUUUUACAUUCAAUCUUUGAGGCAGAACCAAUAAUUAAAUUUCAUUGGAUUCAGAAUUUAAUUAUAUAUUUUAUGCAACAC
rnacentral:lncRNA from 1 species